rnacentral:lncRNA from 1 species
ACUUGUUGGGACUCAAACUUUGUAGGAUGACUUCCUAUGACCCUGUAGGUAACAUAGGAUACUCAAAAUCAAAAUUGCCCCAGGGAAUGGGCAGAUUGGGGUUGUUCUUUCUGUCUGUCUGUUUCACUUAGAUUUCCACACCGUUUGAUCUAUUGGCACCAAAUUUUUCAGGCUGACUUUCCCCACAUAUAAUGUAGGGUACUCUGGAUCAAAACCAUCCCAGGGAUAGGGCAUUUUGGAGUUGUAAUUUAAAAUACAUAUUUGAAUCUUUCAGCCUAUUGUUCUGACUAUUGUUGAAAUUGCAAAAUAUGAAGUAGUGAUGUCAUGAUCUGACAAGCAUGACAUUAUCAUGAUGUAACAAUGAAUGAUAUCACAAAUGCUAUUGGUUUAUGGAUCAUUAUGAUGUAACAAUUACUGGCAUCAGAAAAGUUUGUCUAUAUGAUGUAACAAUGGGUGAUGUACCAGAAUGUUAUCAGAGUAUGAUAUCAAUAUGCCAUAACAAUGACAUCAUAACAGUUCUGACAUAUAUAGUAGUAGUAAUGUACGGCCCCGGGACGAUAGGAAACGACACAGGCUUAGGGCCUACCUGCGAUGGCGGUGUGGAUGGUGC